AACGAACGCUGGCGGCGUGGAUAAGACAUGCAAGUCGAACGGGACUAAAUCUGUAGCAAUACAGGUUUAGUUUAGUGGCGAACGGGUGCGUAACACGUGGGCAAUCUGCCGAGAAGUGGGGGAUAGCUCGCCGAAAGGCGAAUUAAUACCGCAUAUGAUCAGCUAAGACAUCUUAGCGACAUCAAAGCCGGGGCAACCUGGCGCUUCUUGAUGAGCCCGCGGCCUAUCAGCUAGUUGGUGAGGUAACGGCUCACCAAGGCUAUGACGGGUAGCUGGUCUGAGAGGACGACCAGUCACACUGGAACUGAGACACGGUCCAGACACCUACGGGUGGCAGCAGUCGAGAAUUUUUCUCAAUGGGGAAACCCUGAAGGAGCGACGCCGCGUGGAGGAUGAAGGCUUUC
rnacentral:rRNA from 1 species